rnacentral:tmRNA from 1 species
GGGGCUGUUUAGGUUUCGACAGAAAUAUUGAAGUAUAGAUGGCAAGUCGAAGGCACGCGUUAAGUGCAAACAAAAAAUAACUGGAAACAGAAAUCAAUUAGCUUUCGCUUAAUAUAAUGGAGGCUGCUUCUUAUAAACUUUCUCCCAUGGAGUUUUUAAGAGGCUCGAUUUAAUGGGAUAUAUUAUUACGGCGCCUAGAAGUAAUAAUGAAUUUUAUAGGCUUACUAGAAAAUAGAUUGUUAGUUAUCAGUUUAUCUAGGAAUUUUAUUAACUGACUAAACUUGUAGAAAUUUAUAUGAAUAUAUUUUUGGACAGGAGUUCGAUUCUCCUCAGCUCCACCA